UAGGGAAUCUUCCACAAUGGACGCAAGUCUGAUGGAGCAACGCCGCGUGGGUGAAGAAGGUCUUCGGAUCGUAAAACUCUGUUGUUAGAGAAGAACACGAGUGAGAGUAACUGUUCAUUCGAUGACGGUAUCUAACCAGCAAGUCACGGCUAACUACGUGCUAG
rnacentral:rRNA from 1 species